GACGUAGGUCGCGACCGUUAUCCGGAAUUAUUGGGCGUAAAGGGUGCGUAGGUGGUUUGUUAAGUCUGAUGUGAAAGCCCGGGGCUCAACCCCGGAAUGGCUUUCGAAACUGCUGAGCUAGAGUACAGAAGGGGCAACCGGAAUUCCCAGUGUAGCGGUGAAAUGCGUAGAUAUUGGGAAGAACACCUGAGGCGAAGGCGGGUUGCUGGGCUGAUACUGACGCUGAGGCGCGAAAGCCAGGGGAGCAAACGGG
rnacentral:rRNA from 1 species